GCCCUCGUAGUGAAACGGAUCUCACGCGACGCUUCGGACGUCGUAUUCCGGGUUCGACUCCUGGCGAGGGCACCA
rnacentral:tRNA from 1 species